GCUAAUCUUCGACCGAGAGGAUAAUUGGAGCAUAUCUUCCAAGGUUGUCUCUCACUACACUUGCAUAUGAGAGAGAGAGAGUUUCUUGUUGUGUUUUACCAGUACAUGGAGUCAAAUAUGGUCAUAUAUCUCUAGAUUUCAAUUUCAUUUGAUCUGAUUGCAAAGAAUAUUAAAUUUUCGAUAUAGUUAGCAAUAACAAAUAGAGUAAUAAAGCUUCACCACAUCGGGAUUAUCAACAGAAUCUUAAAAAUUAAAGAAGGUAACAGUAUACACUGAAUUCAAACGCAGCAGUUUAUAGAGAGAGAGAGAGAGACAAGCAUACGCUCAGCUGAGAAAAAAGUUCAUCAUCUUAGAGAAUUAAAGAAGGUAACAGUAUACACUGAAUUCAAACGCAGCAGUUUAUAGAGAGAGAGAGAGAGAGAGACAAGCAUACGCUCAGAUGAGAAAAAAGUUCAUCAUC